UACGUAGGGUGCAAGCGUUGUCCGGAAUUAUUGGGCGUAAAGGGCUCGUAGGCGGUCCAUCGCGUCGGGAGUGAAAGCCCCGGGCUCAACCUGGGGAAUUGCGCGCGAAACGGGGGGGGCUUGAGUUCGGGGAGAGGAGCGUGGAAUUCCCAGUGUAGAGGUGAAAUUCGUAGAUAUUGGGAAGAACACCGGUGGCGAAGGCGGCGCUCUGGACCGAGACUGACGCUGAGGCGCGAAAGCGUGGGGAUCAAACAGG
rnacentral:rRNA from 1 species